AGCUAUCAAGGGAGUGGAAUUUCUCUUUGGGGUUACAACUUUGGGAUUUAGGAGAAAAGGAGAAGACUCAGAUUUUAUUGAGAAUUCUAACAUACUUUUAGGGGGAGGAUGAGGAUAUAAUUAAGAGAUACCCUUUUGUAUAGACCCAAGGCUGAAAAUUUUUGUCCUGUGCAUUGCAACUUAAACCCUCAAGAACACUGUUUAAAUUCUCAACAGUACUUACAAGUAUGCAGGCAGUAAUACUACUCAAAGAGAUGCAGACAGCAAAGAAUAUAUUCAACGGUUUUGGAGGUAGUUGAGGGAAAACAAAAGCACUUAUCAGCGUUACCUGUAUGAAGAGAAAUUAUGUAAGGCCUUAACAGUAAUUCCAAGACUUGGUAAUUACCAACUGGAGUCUAGGCAACAGUACUACAAAAUGCUUCAUGUUAUAAAAUUACAUCUGCCACCAAGUUUGCUUUCUAGAAUGUUAAUACAGUAAUUAUAAAUAUGUUCGAGUUAUUUUAGUACUUCUUUUCUAAACUUUCCCUUACUUAUGAAAGGAGAGAAAACAUCAGUAAUACUAGCUGAUGCCAAAAUAACUUCAUUAACUAAACCUCACUCCCAGGAUUAAUGAUUCUGCUGGUAAAAGUUCUAGCCAUUUUGUUAUUUUAAAUAUUUCUAGCAAAAUGAAUAUAAUCAAAGCUGGUUUUGCUAUAACAUUAUGAAACACACUGAAAGACUUCUAAUGUUGUAUAGUUCUGUUUCUAACAGAUGCAGCAUUAUAUGCAAUCUUUUCAUUAAGAAGCCAUGGAAAAAAAUUCUCUUAAAUUUAAUGUGCCAGAAAAAUGUCAAACUAUGGAAAAUACAGCUUUUAAAAAUUUUAUUGUAAUAGCUCCCAGAUGUAUACUGUAUACAGGAUGUAUACAGUACAACUACUAUACACUGUGACCAAAUCUUUUAAAACUUGACCAAAGGGUAAUGGAUAUGUUCUUCAGGAACAAAAUAGAAAUGGGGAAUUAUGGUAGAUGACAGAAGGAAGUGGCUACUAGCCACUGACAUUUUUACAAAUUUACUAGGCAAAACAUGGUAAACUCAAUUAUCUUAAAACGAAGUUGUCUGACUUGUACCAUUUCACAUAUUCAACCUGGGGGUGGGGCAGAAUUAAAUUAGCUACUCCAAUUAGCAACUGCAAUUUUGUGGUAAUAAAAUUAAAAGCACUUAUUUAGCUUUUUUUGGAAAGUUAACCAUAAUUGAUAAAGUUUUCAAAACUGGCUAAGAGCCUGGGUGAGGCACAAAAUGAGGAUACUUACUAGAAUCAAUAAGGAUGUUAAGCUGCCAACAACUAAAUUGAUGAUUCGAUCCUGAAAGAGAAAAGAAUUUUUAAGCCAUAUGACUUGGAUCCAUGUUACCUUCAGUAUAGUACAAUGCAAGGCAUUUGGAUGGUUUACUAUAAAGAAACCCAAGAUCCAGUCCUCUGAGCUUUACACAUAAAACUACCAGACAAAGCAAAGUGUACUGAACCAUAAGAGUGGAAAAUGUACUUUGGGAAAAUGGCCAACUGGGGAAGGUUUCUUGAAGGGACAGAACAUUUAUACUAGAGUCUUGAUUGGGUAGUAUCAAAUGGGUAAGGGAGGCUUACAAAUAAUGCAUGUGCUGCUGAGGAUAGCAUAAGCCAAAGGAGAAGGACAGGCACUGCAGGAAUGGCCAGGCCAGAGCAUUGGUUAAAGGUAUCAGGAACCGGACUAGAUGUAGAGUACCAUGAUGUGUCUGGAACUAUAUUUGUAAUACAGCUUAGGUAUCCUUGUCUAGUCUAAAAAUAGAUGCUACUGUUAAAAGGGAUGGGUCCUAGAGUGCCAAGGCUUGGCACUUGCAAUCUUAAGAGACCAUCCAGUCCAGUAGUUUUUCCAAGUUAUUUAAUAGUGAAGGGCUUUAGUAUAUAAACAAAAUAUUGGUUGAAUGAAGAACCUACCUACUGAGCUUUCUUGUCAUUCCCAUCCCACCCCAACCAACAAAGAAUGUUUGAAAAACUGAUCCAAUCCUAAUUUUACAGGUUAAACUAAAUUUAGGCCCAGUGUGGUUAAAUUAUUUUCUAAGAGUCAUAACAAGUUAGAAGCAAUUUUGAAACCAGAGAUUCCUAAAUCCAGGUCACUGGUUAGAAGUAGUUUCAGGUACUACUAAAAAGGUAAAGUAUGAUAGUGACAUGCAGUCUUAUUUCUGAGAAGUCAAAGCUGAGUCUUUAACGAAUCAGUCGUCUUAAAUGUUGUUUUGAUAAUGGUCUGAGCAGAGAAUGGCAGGAUAUGGAACAUGCCGCCAAUAAACAAAACCUCAGAGAUGGGAAGGACACAGGAACAAUCACAGAGCAGCAACCGAAUUCUCAUUUCCAAGUAGUCGCCUUUUAAGGAUAAGAACCCACAGAAGUUAAGAGUCAGGCAAAAUUGGGAGGGAAAGAGUAAGAAAGCCAAGUAUUGGAUGUGUGUGAUCUAACCAAGGACAAAUCACAACUCUCCAGACCAAGGCCACUGCAACUGAAAGGUUACAGAACAAAAGAUACUGGACUCCAGCCACACCCUAACUCCAGAGGACUCAGAAGAGAUCUUACCACGACCUCAGCUAGAGAAGCCUACACAGCACACAGGAGCCUGAACUUAGGACCACUUUGUUAGGAAAGGGACCCAGGGACAAGUCACCACUCACUUUAACUUCUUCCCACAUGGGACAACAUAAAAUGUGUAGAGAGACAAAAUCCAUGGGAGCCCCACUAUUUUUGAGAAGCAAGAAUAUCUGCUGCUCUCUGAGCGCCAGGGAUUUCCAAAAUGAAGCACUGCAUACCUCAUAACAGCUCCCACCAAUAGAAGUCAAGCCAAUAUAUCACUAAUUGCCAAAUGACACACAGCAAGUUGCCUACCAGGAUCAAAGUAGGAGAAAAAUAAUGGUAAAAGGAUAUUAACUAUGCCAAGCACAUUCACCAAUCCUCUCUUUAAAAAUUCUAGGAUGAAAUGGUAAUAUGACUGUUUCACAGGUAGCAAAACAGGCUCAGGGAAACUGAGAACUUUCCCAAGAUCUCAAUACCAUUAAGUGAUAAAGACAAGAUUCAGUGCCAGGCCUCCUUUCCCUAUUUAUGCUUCUCACCCAAAGAACAACCUAGAGUGCUAGUGCUGGUCUAGACAAAGAUGUCAAGUGGCAGAUGACACCUCAAAAAGCCUAUUAGCAAAGUACUACACUGUGCUUACCUUUCAAGAAUGAUUUCCUCAUGGGUGACUUUGUUCCACAUUUUUGGAUUUCUCCAUAUAACUGAUUUUAAUCAUCCUGAUGAAAAUAUAUCUAAACUUUAAUGAAUACUUUCCUGCCUACCUUUUAGAUAGUCACUGAACAGAAUUCCAACAGAUUUUCAUGAAUAUCAGUUAUUGUUAUAAUGUAGUGGUCCCCUCUGGGAUUCCCAAGAUGGGAUGAACUAUUUCGGACAUGGCAGAAGUGUUUCUCAGAAUAUUUUCUUUCUCCAAGCCAAGGCCUUCUAUCAACCAUGAAUUCAGAAGUUUACACUAUCCAGAGUUCAGGAGGGCACUAAGAAGACAGAAAGUGAGCUAUCUUGGACAGUCAAGGAGAGACUACCAGAGAAGUCAAAACCCUGAGGAAGACUAGCAGAUGAAAAGGAAAGGAAAGAUGGUUCAUGAAAGGAAUUCCACAAAGACCCAUGGGAGAACAAAAGCAUUGCUGUUACAAAAAAUCAAUGGGACAAAUGGAGAUUGUUGACCAAGUUUCAUGAGAGCUGAGAGGAAAAGAGCUGGAAUGCAAUGCACAGUGAAGAGCCUGGGCCUGACGGAUUCAUGUCUUUGUCUUCCUUUAGAAUGAGGAAGGAGAAAAAGAUGGAGAUAUAUGCAACUGGUUUGUAUCUGGAAUGGUGGAAAGCAAGUAAGGAGUGUUAUCUCUAUUUACCAAUGGGUAACUAGGUUCCAGAAGACUGACUUGCCAAAGGUCACACGGCUAGGUAAUGGCAAAAAAUCUCCUAUCCAAUGCUGUUCACAAAAGACAAGUGUAAUGAACAGUUCAAAAGGUCUAACAGUCCUAAAACUAAUAAAUACAGACCUUAACACGGUCUAGAAACCAA